rnacentral:rRNA from 1 species
GACGACGCUGGCGGCGUGCCUAACACAUGCAAGUCGAACGGGAUCCAUGGAGUGCUUGCACUCCGGAAGAUCUAGUGGCGAACGGGUGAGUAACACGUGAGAAACCUGCCCCAGACUCUGGGAUAACCUCGGGAAACCGAAGCUAAUACCGGAUAUUCUCCUUUGGUCGCAUGGCCAGUUGAGGAAAGUUUUUCGGUCUGGGAGGGUCUCGCGGCCUAUCAGCUAGUUGGUGGGGUAACGGCCCACCAAGGCUACGACGGGUAGCUGGUUUGAGAGAACGAUCAGCCACACUGGAACUGAGACACGGUCCAGACUCCUACGGGAGGCAGCAGUGGGGAAUCUUGCGCAAUGGGCGAAAGCCUGACGCAGCAACGCCGCGUGCGGGAUGAAGGCCUUCGGGUUGUAAACCGCUUUCAGCAGGGACGAAAAUGACGGUACCUGCAGAAGAAGCCCCGGCUAACUACGUG